rnacentral:lncRNA from 1 species
UUUUUUUUUGUGGUUUUUAAUUAGAAUUGGCAAAUUUGAGUUUGUUUUCUUCUUUGCUUCAGAAAAUGAAAGAUUUAUUUCUCAUUGAUUUCUAUAGGUCAUAGAUUGAUUUCUAUAGGUCAUAGGUUUUUGAAAAAGAAACCUAAUCAAGAACACCCUUGCACACUCUCAAACCAGUAUAACAGAAAGAAUGAACUGAAUCUUGUAUUAUUCACAGAAAGGAAUGGUCUGUACAAUCAAGAUACAGGGGCAUAAU